rnacentral:piRNA from 1 species
AACUGUGAUUGGAGGGCAUUGGUG